rnacentral:rRNA from 1 species
UACGAAGGGGGCUAGCGUUGUUCGGAAUUACUGGGCGUAAAGCGCGCGCAGGCGGUCUUCCAAGUCAGUGGUGAAAGCCCGGAGCUCAACUCCGGAACUGCCAUUGAAACUGUUUAGCUUGAGGACGAGAGAGGUGAGUGGAAUUCCCAGUGUAGAGGUGAAAUUCGUAGAUAUUGGGAAGAACACCGGUGGCGAAGGCGGCUCACUGGCUCGUAUCUGACGCUCAGGCGCGAUAGCGUGGGGAUCAAACAGG